GUACUUGAUUCUGCAGCACGUAUACUAAAAUUGGAAGGAUACAGAGAAGAUUAGCAUGGCCCUGUGCAAGGAUGAUACGCAAAUUCGUGAAACGUUCCAUAUUUUU
rnacentral:snRNA from 1 species